GCCACUGUGGAUAGCUCAGUCAGUAGAGCAUGAGGCUCUUAAUCACAGGGUCAUGGGUUCGAACCCAACAUUGGGCA